GAUGAACGCUAGCUACAGGCUUAACACAUGCAAGUCGAGGGGUCCUUUGGAGCUUGCUUUAAAAGACGACCGGCGCACGGGUGAGUAACGCGUAUCCAACCUGCCCUUCAUAUUGGGAUAGCCUUCCGAAAGGAAGAUUAAUACCGAAUAACAUGAUAGAGUUGCCUGAUUUUAUCAUGAAAGCUCCGGCGAUGAAGGAUGGGGAUGCGUUCCAUUAGGUAGUAGGCGGGGUAACGGCCCACCUAGCCGACGAUGGAUAGGGGUUCGGAGAGGAAGGUCCACCACACUGGAACUGAGACACGGUCCAGACUCCUACGGGAGGCAGCAGUGAGGAAUAUUGGUCAAUGGGCGCAAGCCUGAACCAGCCAAGUAGCGUGAAGGAUGACUGCCCUAUGGGUUGUAAACUUCUUUUAUACGGGAACAAACCCUGGUACGUGUACCAGAUUGCGUGUACCGUAUGAAUAAGCAUCGGCUAACUCCGUGCCAGCCGCCGCCGUAAGAC
rnacentral:rRNA from 1 species